AGAAAGAAGAUAAUCGCCGUUGCUGACGUCACCGCCGGUAAUCAAAAUCGUCUUUUAACCGUAAUUUUCUCUUUUACUCUCUCUCUCUCUCUUCUUUACCCAAAAACAAUCCGAUCCAACAAAUCACAAAAAAGCUCUUAUCCUAAGCCUCAAUCCUCCACCGCGCACGUUAGCCUCCCCCUCUCCGAGAUGGAGACGACGCCGGAGAUUCACCCGAAGCCACACAACCAGAGCGGGUCUAACCGUUUACCGGCGGGGAGAGAGGAUUGGUGGAGCGAGGACGCUACAGCGACGUUGAUCGAAGCUUGGGGAGAUCGUUACGUCAAUCUCAACCGUGGCAAUCUCCGUCAAAACGAUUGGAAAGAAGUCGCCGACGCCGUUAACGCUAGCCACGGUAACGGCCGGCCUAAGACAGACGUGCAGUGCAAAAACCGGAUCGAUACGUUGAAGAAGAAGUACAAGACUGAGAAGGCGAAGCCUUCGUCGGCUUGGUGCUUCUUCGAUAGACUCGAUUUCUUGAUCGGUCCGGUUGUGAAGAAACCUUCCGGCGGCGUUGUUAAGUCGGCGUUGAUGAACCCUAAUUUGAAUCCUGCUGGAUCUAAAUCGACGGGAAGCUCUCUUGACGAUGACGACGAUGAUGAUGAUGAUGACGAUGAAGAUGAUGAUGAUGCGGGUGAUUGGGGUUUUGUGGUGAGGAAGCAUCGUAGAGUUGAAGAUGUAGAUCCGAGUGAAGGAUCGGCUUUUAGGGAGCUGGCGAGAUCGAUUCUUAAGUUAGGUGAAGCUUUUGAAAGAAUCGAAGGUAAGAAGCAGAGGAUGAUGAUUGAAUUGGAGAAGCAGAGGAUGGAAGUUGCAAAGGACCUUGAGUUACAACGCAUGAACAUGUUGAUGGAGAUGCAAUUGGAGCUUGAGAAGUCAAAACUUGGGAAACGAAGAGCUUCUUCAGCACUCUGGAAUCUCCAGGACAAGACUCUUGUGACCUGAGGUAGAAGAGGUGACACAUGAGGCUGAAUUAUUGGAGCCUCAAAAAGGAACAUCGCAGAAGCAUAUCCAUCAAUGUUUCAUGUUUGGUAGAAUUUGGGGAUGCAUAAGCAUGUGCUCUCCUAUUCAUACCUGACUUACAAAGAAGCUUUGUAUCUAAAAAACCUCACUUUACUCUCCUUGGCCUACCACUUGGUCCAAAACUGAGAUAUACUUUAGAUUUUCGAAAAUGACUUGUAAGCAAAGUGCAAAUUACAGCUGAUAAAGAGAUAUGAUAGAGAGAUAAGGCCUAUACAAAAGGAGGCUGUCCAAGAUCAUACAAGUAAGCAUCAAG